rnacentral:rRNA from 1 species
UACGUAGGGCGCGAGCGUUAUCCGGAAUUAUUGGGCGUAAAGAGCUCGUAGGCGGUUUGUCACGUCUGCUGUGAAAACUGGAGGCUCAACCUCCAGCCUGCAGUGGGUACGGGCAGACUAGAGUGCGGUAGGGGAGAUUGGAAUUCCUGGUGUAGCGGUGGAAUGCGCAGAUAUCAGGAGGAACACCGAUGGCGAAGGCAGCUCUCUGGGACGGUACUGACGCUGAGGAGCGAAAGCGUGGGGAGCGAACAGG